rnacentral:rRNA from 1 species
UACGUAGGGUGCAAGCGUUAAUCGGAAUACUGGGCGUAAAGCGUGCGCAGGCGGUGAUGUAAGACAGUUGUGAAAUCCCCGGGCUCAACCUGGGAACUGCAUCUGUGACUGCAUCGCUGGAGUGCGGCAGAGGGGAUGGAAUUCCGGCGUGUAGCAGUGAAAUGCGUAGAUAUGCGGAGGAACACCGAUGGCGAAGGCAGCCCCCGG